UAUCAUCAACCUCCAUCACUUUUGUGAUGGAAGGCUUGGACUUGGAGGUUGUGUCGGUGCAUUCGCAUCGGCUCCUCUGAAAUGUAUUAGCGUGAAUCUUACGGAUCGCCUUCGGUGUGAUAAUUACUGCGCCGUGGAUGUGAAGUAUAACAGUGUUCGUGCUUACAAUCGUCUUGAAGAAAGACAACACUUUGACA
rnacentral:misc_RNA from 1 species